rnacentral:misc_RNA from 1 species
GAUGAAGAACGUAGCGAAAUGCGAUAAGUAAUGUGAAUUGCAGAAUUCAGUGAAUCAUCGAAUCUUUGAACGCACAUUGCGCCCGCUGGUACUCCGGCGGGCACGCCUGUCCGAGCGUCAUUUCAACCCCCAAGCCCUCCUUCGGGAUGGGCCUGGUGUUGGGGCUCGGCCGCCAUCUCCGGCGGCCGUCCCCUAAAUACAGUGGCGGUCACGUCGCGACUCCUUUGCGUAGUAGAAACACCUCGCUCCGGAUAGCAACGCGGUCCACGCCGUAAAACCCCCAAUUUUCAAUGGUUGACCUCGGAUCAGGUGGGAAUACCCGCUGAACUUAAGCAUAUCAAUAAGCGGAGGA